UUCCGGUUGAUCCUGCCGGAGGCUACUGCUAUCGGGGUUCGAUUAAGCCAUGCGAGUUAAAUGUUCUUCGUGAACAUAGCGAACUGCUCAGUAACACGUGGAUAACCUACCCUUAGGACCGGAAUAACCCCGGGAAACUGAGGAUAAUACCGGAUAAGCCAUAGACGCUGGAAUGCCCUAUGGUUCAAAGCUCCGGCGCCUAAGGAUGGAUCUGCGGUCUAUCAGGUUGUAGUGGGUGUAACGUACCUACUAGCCGACGACGGAUACGGGUUGUGAGAGCAAGAGCCCGGAGAUGGAUUCUGAGACACGAAUCCAGGCCCUACGGGGUGCAGCAGGCGCGAACACUUUACAAUGCGGGAAACCGCGACAAGGGAACCCCGAGUGCCAGCAUCAAAUGUUGGCUGUCCGGAUGAUUAAAAAUCAUUUGUUAGCAAGGGCCGGGCAAGACCGGUGCCAGCCGCCGCGGUAACACCGGCGGCCCGAGUGGUAGCCGUUUUUAUUGGGUCUAAAGGGUCCGUAGCCGGCCUGAUCAGUCCUUUGGGAAAUCUGGCAGCUUAACUGUCAGGCUUCUAAGGGAUACUGUCAGGCUUGGGACCGGAAGAGGUAAGGGGUACUCCAGGGGUAGGAGUGAAAUCUUGUAAUCCCUGGGGGACCAUCUGUGGCGAAGGCGCCUUACCAGAACGGGUCCGACGGUGAGGGACGAAAGCUAGGGGAGCAAACCGGAUUAGAUACCCGGGUAGUCCUAGCUGUAAACGAUGCUCGCUAGGUGUCAGACACGGUGCGACCGUGUUUGGUGCCGCAGGGAAGCCGUUAAGCGAGCCACCUGGGAAGUACGGUCGCAAGGCUGAAACUUAAAGGAAUUGGCGGGGGAGCACUACAACGGGUGGAGCCUGCGGUUUAAUUGGAUUCAACGCCGGG
rnacentral:rRNA from 1 species